rnacentral:rRNA from 1 species
GAGUUUGAUCCUGGCUCAGGAUGAACGCUGGCGGCGUGCUUAACACAUGCAAGUCGAACGAAGCGAUUAGAAGGAAGUUUUCGGAUGGAAUUCUGAUUGACUGAGUGGCGGACGGGUGAGUAACGCGUGGGUAACCUGCCUCAUACAGGGGGAUAACAGUUAGAAAUGACUGCUAAUACCGCAUAAGCGCACAGGAUUGCAUGAUCCGGUGUGAAAAACUCCGGUGGUAUGAGAUGGACCCGCGUCUGAUUAGCUGGUUGGUGGGGUAACGGCCCACCAAGGCGACGAUCAGUAGCCGACCUGAGAGGGUGACCGGCCACAUUGGGACUGAGACACGGCCCAAACUCCUACGGGAGGCAGCAGUGGGGAAUAUUGCACAAUGGGGGAAACCCUGAUGCAGCAACGCCGCGUGAGUGAAGAAGUAUUUCGGUAUGUAAAGCUCUAUCAGCAGGGAAGAAAAUGACGGUACCUGAGUAAGAAGCCCCGGCUAACUACGUGCCAGCAGCCGCGGUAAUACGUAGGGGGCAAGCGUUAUCCGGAUUUACUGGGUGUAAAGGGAGCGUAGACGGCGAUGCAAGUCUGAAGUGAAAGCCCGGGGCUCAACCCCGGGACUGCUUUGGAAACUGUAUGGCUGGAGUGCUGGAGAGGCAAGCGGAAUU